rnacentral:lncRNA from 1 species
UCCCGUGACCUCAAGAACAAAAGUAACUACUCACAAAUAAUAAUCAUGCUCAAGAUCAGAGGGGUAUUAAAUAGCAUAUUGGAUCUGAACAUAUAAUCUUCCACCAAAUAAACCAUAUAGUAAUCAACUACAAGAUGUAAUCAACACUACUAGUCACCCACAAGCACCAAUCUGUAGUUCCGAUAACAAGAUUGAACACAAGAGUUGAACUAGGGUUUGAGAUGAGAUGGUGCUGUUGAAGAUGUUGAUGGAUAUUACCCUCCCCAAGAUGGGAGACUUGUUGGUGAUGACGAUGACGAUUAUUUCCUCCUCCGGGAGGAAAGUUCCCCUAGCGGAAUCGCUCCGCUGGAGGGCAAAAGUGCUCCUGCCCUAGUUCCGCCUCGAGAUGGCGGUGCUCCAUCCUGAAUGUCCUCUCCUUAUUUUUUCUAGGUCAAAAUGACCUAUAUACUAGAAGAUGUGCACCGAAGGUGGGCCUGGGUGAGCACAACCCACGAGGGCAUGCCUGGGCUCCCUGGUGCGCCCAAGUGGGUUGUGCCCACCUGGUGGGCCCCCUAUGGUAGUUAUUUUCUCCAAUAUUCAUCAUAUAUUUGUUAAAAAAUCUCCCUGAAGUGUCAUCUUGUUUGGAGUUGUGUAUAAUAGGUGGCCUGACGUAGCUUUUCCAGGUCCAGAUUUCCAGCUGCCAAAAUUCUCCCUCUUUGUGUAUACCUUGCAUAUUAUGAGAGAAAAGGCAUUAGAAUUACUCCAAAAAGCAUUAUUACGGAUAAAAACAUCAUAAAUAAUAGUAAGAAAACAUGAUGCAAAAUGGACUUAUCACUUUAUCACAGGGAGUCGAGGAAGUGAUCUCUGGGGCAUGUUACAACAUACUUACUAAUAUUAUAAUGUCCCACUCUUAUCUCUUCUGAUGCUGCAAGGUGCUUAAAGAUGCUAGUCUUCGAUAGGCUAGGCUUUCCCCUUCCCUUCUAGCACUAUGCAGUUUAGUCCACAGAUACAUCCCAUUUCCUUUGAUAUAGAUGCAUACUUAGUUUAGAUCGGAUGUAAGUCUUGCGAGUACUUUAGUCCACAGGUUCUUUGGAUGAGUACUCACAGAUGAUGGAUCCCAGGAGCCAGACGACACCACUGACCAGUACUACUACUACCCCAAGGGGGCGUACAACUAUGGGACGGCUGUUGACGACCAGGAGUAGUUAGGAGGCUCCCAGGCAGGAGGUGAUACGUCUCCAACGUAUCUAUAAUUUUUGAUUGCUCCAUGCUAUAUUAUCUACUGUUUUGGGCAAUAUUGGGCUUUAUUAUCCACUUUUAUAUUAUUUUUGGGACUAACCUAUUAACCGGAGGCCCAGCCCAGAUUUGCUGUUUUAUGUCUAUUUCAGUGUUUCGAAGAAAAGGAAUAUCAGACGGAGUCGAAACGGACGAAAUCAACUGGACAAGUUAUUUUUUGAAGGAAACACACUUGAUGGACUUGGACCCCACGUCAGAAGAUACGGGAGCUGCCCACGAGGGUGGGGGCGCGCCCACCCACCUAGGGCGCGCCCCCUGCCUCGUGGGGCCCCCGUGGCUCCCUUGAUGUGCUUCUUCUGCCUAUAUAACUCCAUAUACCCUAAAACUUCCAGAACGAAGAUUAGAUCGGGAGUUCCGCCGCCGCAAGCCUCUGUAGCCACCAAAAGUCAAUCGGGACCCUGUUCCGGCACCUUGCCAGAGGGGGGAUCCCUCACCGGUGGCCAUCUUCAUCAUCCCGGCGCUCUCCAUGACAAGGAGGGAGUAGUUCACCCUCGGGGCUAAGGGUAUGUACAAGUAGCUAUGUGUUUGAUCUCUCUCUCUCUCUCGUGUUCUUGAUUUGGCACGAUCUUGAUGAAUCCCAAGCUUUGCUAUUAUAGUUGGAUCCUAUGUUUCUCCUCCCCCUCUUCUCUCUUGUAAUGAAUUGAGUUUACCCCUUGAAGUAAUCUUAUCGGAUUGAGUCUUUAAAGAUUUGAAAACACUUGAUGUAUGUCUUUCCGUGUGUAUCUGUGGUGACAAUGGGAUACCACGUGAUUCACUUGAUGUAUGUUUUGGUGAUCAACUUGCGGGUUCCGCCCAUGAACCUAUGCAUAGGGGUUGGCACACGUUUUCGUCGUGAUUCUCCGGUAGAAACUUUUGGGCACUCUUUGAGGUUCUAUUUGUUGGUCGAAUAGAUGAAUCUGAGAUUGUGUGAUGCAUAUCGUAUAAUCAUACCCACGGAUACUUGAGGUGACAUUGGAGUAUCUAGGUGACAUUAGGGUUUUGGUUGAUGUGUGUCUUAAGGUGUUAUUCUAGUACGAACUCUAGGGCUGUUUGUGAAACUUAUAGGAAUAGCCCAACGGAUUGAUUGGAAAGAAUAACUUUGAGGUGGUUUCGUACCCUACCAUAAUCUCUUCGUUCGUUCUCCGCUAUUAGUGACUUUGGAGUGGCUCUUUGUUGCAUGUUGAGGGAUAAUUAUGUGAUCCAACUAUGUUAGUAUUGUUGAGGGAACUUACACUAGCGAUAGUAUGAACCCUAGGCCUUGUUUCCUAGCAUUGCAAUACCGUUUACGCUCACUUUUAUCACUUGCUACCUUGCUGUUUUUAUUAUUCCAGAUUACAAAUACCUUUAUCUACUAUCCAUAUACCACUUGUUUCACCAUCUCUUCGCCGAACUAGUGCACCUAUACAAUUUACCAUUGUAUUGCGUGUGUUGGGGACACAGGAGACUCUUUGUUAUUUGGUUGCGGGGUUGCUUGAGAGAGACCAUCUUCAUCCUACGCCUCCUACGGAUUGAUAAACCUUAGGUCAUCCACUUGAGGGAAAUUUGCUACUGUCCUACAAACCUCUGCACUUGGAGGCCCAACAAUGUCUACAAGAAGAAGGUUGUGUAGUAGACAUCAGGAGGCUUGCCUUUUCAACCGUUGUUGCUUUUGUGCUAGCCUCCUUAAGACAGACUUGUUUAACUUAUGUCUGUAGUCAGAUAUUGUUGCUUCCACUAAGUCGUUUGUAUUCGAGGUUAUGUAUUCAAGCCUCGAGGCCCCUAAAUUGUAAUAUAAAGCUUGCUUUAUUUUAAUUUGUGUCUAGAGUUGUGUUGUGAUAUCUUCCCGUGAGUCCCGCAUCUUGAUCGUACACAUUUACGUGUAUGAUUAGUGUACGAUUGAAUCGGGGGAGUCACAAGUUGGUAUCAGAGCCGACUGCCUGUAGGGAUCCCCCUUUCCAACUCCUUGGCCGAAGUUGAUUCUGGUCAUUGAAAAACUUUUACUAACAUGGCUGUGCGGCUUACGGGCCCACAUCGCCAUCGGGUGGUAUUAAGAUCUUUUAUUCCUCGCCUUUACUCUGGGACUCUAAUCUCUCUUCUAUUUGGGUUAAAUGAUUUUGCUAACUCUAACUUUAGUUUCUCGUAACUACUUCCCUCGGAUAGCCCCUCAUUCUAGAUAAUCGUCUGCUUCAUCAGAAGAUUUUGAAGAUACUAUUCGAUGCCUUCCCAAGACCGUUGUGCCCUUCGCCGUUGCAAUUCCCUACCACCGAUAAAUCCCCAUGGAUAACUACAUACACUUGCCGUCUAUACCCUGAAAUACUUUCCAAUAUUCCGAGAAUCUAUUGUGUCCGCUGCCAUGCAGCUCCUUUUCUGCAUGAAUACAUGUACGGGUAAUCCCUCACACAUAAUCGGGAUUCGCUCAUCCCCAGUUGUUCAUGUGUUUCACAAAAGCCUUCGAAAUACUAUUCAAUAUUUCAAAAAUCUUCAGCAGCCUAUUGCUCUUGAAAUUCUUGCUUGCUUGCGUUUUGGUUAAUCCCAUAAGUCUAGUAAUCUUGUUGGCAUCCUUUGUCACUAUCAUUUUGAGUCCUUGAUUCUAUAUGUUGAGGAUGCUCGCAAUCCUCAGUCGAAUCCUAGAAUUCAUCCUUCCGGCUCAGACGUCAUUUUGAACAUGAACUGGUUCUCGACCAAUCAAAUUGCCACCAGUUGUACCUCUAGGUCUAUUCAACUUACUCGAAUUUGAUCAGAGCAUUUGAUUAUGAUACACCGAUCUUGAAAUCAUAAUUUCAUUUUAUUUAAGCAUCGAAUUAUUCAGACGUUUCUAUAAUCACAUGCCUUUGCAUUCUUUCUUCUUCUGGUUUAGCAAUGGUACUCACAUCGGAUUCUUUGCGGUCUGCCAGACCCAUCGCACGAUUAUUAUCCGACAGUGUCCGUCAUAUUCAAUAACCCUGUGAGCCUUUCCUUGGAUACAUAAUGCCUUUGGUAAAUUGCAUCCUCUCCUUUUGUCAACCAUGCUCUACUUUCGAGCUUGUGUUAAUUACUCCCGAAGCUUGUGGUAUAUGUUCCUAAGAUGCCCCGAUGGGUUAAACCUAUGCCUUCCUUAAUCUGUGUGAACCCAAAAGUUUUUCACGGGUCAUACUUGUAAAAACCUGAGACUGACGCUCUAGACGCCUUCUAUGUUAUUACAUUGUUACCAUGUGUUUUAUUAGUUUGUUGCAUUCAUCAUGGCAUCAUGCGCAUUGGAUCAUCAUGUUUUCAUAAACUUGCAUCUGCUCGUAGUUGUCGCUUCUUCGAUGUCUCUAUUGACCUCCUCCCAGAUCAAUUGGGCCGCUCUCUUCUCUCGUGUCUUCUUCAUGGCCUUUUGUCAGGCACCUUGUCUUUGUCGACCUCUCUCAGACCCCCUCGCAUGUGUGUCUGAAAAAUUUACCCGGACUGAACCCAGGCACUCGUGACCAAUGGGUCCGGAUCAUCCCCAAACAUCCCUAAAAUAUCUUCAUUUUAUUCAUUGGACUCCCUAGCCUAUUUUUUUCUGUUCGAACGAUUAUGAUCGGAGGGGCUAGAUAGCCCCUAACCAAAAACCCACAUGCUAUAUAUAACAGUCUAAACCCUAGCCCCUACUUGUCCAAUCCACCCAUUCCCAUCCUGCCGCCGCCAAACAACCACCUUUGUCUUGUUUCCUCGGGUUCCCUCCUAAUCCAUUCCACCAACCAGAUCUCCGACCACCUCCCAUGAUUUUUGCCGCUGCUCAUCACCCAAGCCAACCAGAGAUCUUCUCGGAGCCCCACAGCCGCACGAGCGCCCGAGGGCCUCGCUCCUGAGCCGAGCACCGUAUUAGAGGAGCAGCGCUCUGAGCCACCCUAUCCCCGCAGCCCAAGGAGAUUAAGUGAGUGCCUGAGCGCGCCCGUCCUCGCAGCCCCGCGCUAUGAUCAGCCCCGUCAUGCCACCUUCAUCGCCCACCUCCUCGACUACCUCGCGUCGCUGCCCUCGCGACCCGCCACCUCGCCGGCUAGCAGAUGUGCACAAUGCCGCCCCUUCCCUUCCGUCUACCUCUACCUUCCUCAUUCUAUCAACUUGCUCCCUCUGCUUGUCAACAGGAGCUCUGUCAUGGCCACCCAAGGCCUUCUCCUGCCUCGAUCUGUCAAGCAUGCCGCCGGGAACGACCUCCACCCCCCAGGGCCCCGGCGACCUCACCAUCCUGGCCUCCUCCGCCGCGCCAAUGAGAGCGAUGCUGGAGCACUGCAGGUCACCGUGCCUCUGCCCAACCUUCUCCUCCUCUCGUUCCUUCCUGUCUGUCUCUCCCUCUAAUUUCUCUCUAUCUUGCCCAGGGAGUUGCCACCGUUCGGAUCGGCGUGGAUGCACACCAGAACCGUUGCCAUCUUCUUCCGAGAGCCUCCUCCGCGCCAAGUCCCAGCUGCACCAGGCCGUCGUGGUGUCCUCUGCUUCCCCUGCAACGAGCAAUAGUAGCUCGCUCGUCGUCCCGUUGACCGCGCCCCCUCCACCUCCUCAUUCGACUAAGCAAAGCCCAGCCGCGCCACAUCCGCCAGCCCAAGCCGGUCUGCUGCACUAACCGGUCCAGGCCCAAUGUGAGCAUCUGCCUAGCCCCUUUACUGUGCACUAUUGGCCAGGCCAGUUUCGGCCCAUAGUAAUUUUUUUUCUGCUGCUGCGAAUUUGUCCAAUUAUCUAGAAACUGCAUAUUUAUAGAUUGGUCCCUCCUGUUCCUGCAUAACAUAUCUCACAAACCGUGCAUCGGAUUAAAAUGUUUUAAACAUGUAAUGCUUAGAAUUUCAUCUAGUUUCAUAAUAUGCUGCUUUCAUCCAUGUUAAAAAUGUUUAACUUGCUGUUUGCUUUAAUUUGCAUAAAUAACAUGCUAAAAUGAUUUAUUUCAUAACUAAAUAACCGUAGCUCCGAAUUAAAUAAACCAUAUAUGUAAAUUGUCUAGAAAAAUGCAUAUAUUAACUUGGUAGACUUUAUUUUCCUGUUUACAAAUAAUAAAAUAUGGUUUAGGGCAGAACAGUACCAAAUUCGAAAUAUUCAUAUGGGGAUUUUCCGGAAUUGUUGUUUGUUGUUCCGGCCUCAUUUAAACUUGCCUAGAUAGGUAGUUUUAUUAUGCUUCACCUCUUUCUAUGUUUAACAACAUUUAAUAUUGUUGUGUGCCUAAAGGAGAGCGAACUAAAUAACUCAAAUGUGGUGUUUUGUCAAUAUGCAACCACUUAACUUGUAGUAUUGUUUGUUGCACUUUUCCAUGCCAUGAAUCAUUAAACCGGACAUGCAUCAUACUUGAUUGUGCAUCAUGCCAUGUUUAUGUGAUGGUUAUUUACCAUGUUGUUUGCUUCUUUCCGGUCUCAAUAGUUCUUGUUUCGUUGCGAUCGUGAGGAUUCGUUUGAUGAUACGUCUCCAACGUAUCUACUUUUCCAAACACUUUUGCCCUUGUUUUGGACUCUAACUUGCAUGAUUUGAAUGGAACUAACCCGGACUUAUGUUGUUUUCAGCAGAACUGCCAUAGUGUUAUUUUUGUGCAGAAAUAAAAGUUCUCAGAAUGACCUGAAAAUCCAUGAAGACAUGUUUGGGAAUUAAUGAAAAAUACUGGCGAAAGAAUCAGCAUCAGGGGGCCCACACACUGUCCAGGAGGGUGCAGGGCGCGGCCCCUGCCUUGUGGGCCCCCUAGGACUCCACCGACCUCAACCGCAACUCCAUAUAUUCACUUUCGGGGAGAGAAAAAUCGGAGAUAACGAUUCAUCGCGUUUUACUAUAUGGAGCCGCCGCCAAGCCCUAAUCUUCCUCGAGGGGGGGGGGCUGAUCUGGAGUCCGUCCGGGGCUCCGAAGAGGGGAAUCCGUCACCAUCGUCAUCAUCAACCAUACUCUAUCACCAAUUUCAUGAUGCUCACCACUGUGCAUGAGUAAUCUCAUCGUAUGCUUGCUGGACUGUGAUGUGUUGGAUGAGAUUUACCAUGUAAUCGAGUUAGUUUUGUUAGGGUUUGAUCCCUAGUAUCCAUUAUGUUCUAAGAUUGAUGUUGCUAUGACUUUGCUAUGCUUAAUGCUUGUCACUAGGGCCCGAGUGCCAUGAUUUAAGAUCUGAACCAUCUUUUUCAUGAAUAUAUGUGAGUUCUUGAUCCUAUCUUGCAAGUCAAUAGUCACCUACUAUGUGUUAUGAUCCGGCAACCCCGAAGUGACAAAAAUCAGGACCACUCCCGGUGAUGACCGUAGUUUGAGGAGUUCAUGUAUUCACUAAGUGUUAAUGCUUUGGUCUGGUACUCUAUUAAAAGGAGGCCUUAAUAUCCCUUAGUUUCCAAUAGGACCCCGCUGCCACGAGAGGGUAGAACAAAAGAUGUCAUGCAAGUUCUUUUCCAUAAGCAUGUAUGACUAUGUUUGGAAUACAUGCCUACAUUACAUUGAUGAAUUGGAGCUAGUUCUGUGUCACCCUAUGGUAUAACUAUUGCAUGAGGAAUCGCAUCCGACAUAAUUAUCCAUCAUUGAUCCAUUGCCUAUGAGCUUUUUCACAUAUUGAUCUUUGCUUAGUUAUUUUUCUGUUGCCACUGUUACGAUUGCUACAAAAACUACUACUGUUACUUUUGCCACCGUUACCGUUACUUCCAUACUACUUUGCUACUAAAUACUUUUCUGCAUAUAUUAAGUCUUUCAGGUGUGGUUGAAUUGACAACUCAACUGCUAAUACUUACGAAUAUUCUUUGGCUCCCCUUGUGUCGAAUCAAUAAAUUUGGGUUGAAUACUCUACCCUCGAAAAGUAUUGCGAUCCCCUAUACUUGUGGGUUAUCAAGACUAUUUUCUGGCGCCGUUGUCAUGGAGCAUAGCUCUAUUCUUUGAGUAACUUGGAAUUUAUAUCUGUUGAUCACUAUGAGGAACUUGAAAGAUGAAAGAACCAAGAUUUUUCCCUCAACUACUAGGGGAGGUAAGGAACUUCCAUCUAGCUCAGCACUUGACUCACCUUCUGUUAUGUGUAAAUUUGCGACAGCUACACCUGUUAUUGAUUCUGAUAUGUUGCAUGUUGCUGAUGAUGCCACUUUGGCUAUGCAUGAUGCUUAUGGUGAAAUUACUUCUAUGCUUGCUAAUACCAUGCCAUUAGGUGAAUUUAUUGAUGAACAACUUUCUAGGGUUAGAGAAAGUGAAAUUAUUGAAACAGAUGAUAUUGAUGAAAGUGAUGAUGAAGAUUCUUCGCCUAGAUAUGAACUGUCUGAUGUGCCUGAGGGCUAUGUUAUGGAUGAAGAAGCUGCUAGAGACCUUUUUGCCUGCAAAGAUAGAUAUGAUCUUAAAAACUGUUAGCUAAGCUGAAAGAAAAGUCUUCGAAUGCUAGAAUGAAAUAUGACCCUACUUUUUCUACUUCACCUAUCUGUAAUUCUGGUAAGGAUUAUGAUUUCUCUGCCGAUUCUGAGUUAAUUACUUUGCUUGAAUCUGAUCCUUUUUAUGGCUAUUAAUCUGAAACUAUUGUGGCACAUCUUACUCAAUUGAAUGAUAUAGCCACCCUAUUUACUCAUGAGGAAAAAAAUUGUUACUACUAUAUCCUUAAGUUAUUUCCGUUCUCAUUAAAGGGUGAUGCUAAAACAUGGUUUACUUAUCUUGCUCCUGGUUGAUUUAUUACUUCUCUGCUAAAUAUUUCCCCGCUCAUAAGAAACAAGCUGCCUUAAGGGAAAUAUACAAUUUUGUGCAAAUUGAAGAAGAGAGUCUCCCACAAGCUUGGGGGAGGCUACUCCAAUUACUUAAUUCUUUGCCUGAUCAUCCUCUCAAGAAAAAUGAAAUACUUGAUAUCUUUUAUAAUGGACUAACCGAUGCUUCAAGAGACCACCUGGAUAGUUGUGCUGGUUGUGUUUUUAGGAAAAGAACUGUUGAGCAAGCUAAAUUGCUAUUGAAUAAUAUAUCGAGUAAUGAUAAUGAUUGGACACUUCCUGAACCAACUCCUAAGCCAACUCCGAAGAAAAGGGGUAUUCUAUUUCUCAGUCCUCAAAAUAUGCAAGAGGUAAAGAAAUCGAUGAAAGAAAAGGGUAUUAAAGCUGAAGAUGUUAAGAAUUUACCACCUAUUGAAGAAAUAAAUGGUCUUAAUAACAUAACAAAGGUAGUAAAGGUAAAUUCUCUCUAUAGAUUUGAUGAAGGUGAUAUUCCUUGUAAUAAGUCUACUAGCCAAUGCUUGGAUGAGUUUGAUAAUUUUAUUGUUAAAAAGGAAAACUUCAAUGCUUAUGUUGGUAGACAAUUGAAACGAAAUGCUUAUAUGGUUGAACACUUGAGUGAUUAUAUGUAUAGAGUUAAAGGUGACCUUAAACUUAUUAGUAAACAUGCUUCUAUGUUUACCACUCAGGUAGAACAAGUGCUUAAAGCACAAGAUGAUUUGCUUAAUGCAUUAAAUAAUAAGAAAAAUUAUAAUGCUGUUGGAGUUAUGACUAGAGCGGGUAAAAUGACUCAGGAACCUUUUUAUCCUGAGGGACACCGUAAGAGAGUUGAGCAAGAUUCUCAGAUAACUAAUGUUGACGCACCUAAUCCUUCUAAGAAGAAGAAAAAGAAAAAUGAUAAGACUUUGCAUGCUUCUAGUGAACCUGUUGUUGACGCACCUGAGAAUACCAAUGAUAUUUCUAAUUCUUAUGCUGAAACACAAUCAGGUAAUGAACAUGAACCUAGUGAUAAUGAUGAUGUUCAUGUUGAUGCUCAACCUAGGAAAAACAAUGAUGUAGAGAUUGAACCUGAUGUUGAUCUUGAUAACCCACAAUCAAAGAGCCAACAUUAUGAUAAGAGAGACUUUGUUGCUAGGAAGCACGGUAAAUAAAGAGAACCAUGGGUUUAGAAACCCAUGCCUUUUCCUCCUAAACCAUCCAAGAAAAAGGAUGAUGAGGAUUUUGAGCGCUUUGAAAUGAUUAGACCUAUCUUUUUGCGUAUGCGUUUGACUGAUAUGCAUAAAAUGAAACCUUAUGCUAUAUGAAAGAUAUUGUUACAAAUAAAAGAAAGAUACCGGAAGCUGAAAUUUCCACCAUGCUUGCCAAUUAUACUUUUAAAGGUGGACUACCAAAGAAACUAGGAGAUCCUAGAGUACCAACUAUACUAUGCUCCAUUAAAAGAAACUAUGUUAAAACUGUUUUAUUUGAUCAUGGAGCCAGUGUUAGUGUUACGCCUCUCUCUUUAUAUCGUAGACUUGAUUUGAAUAAGUUGACACCUACUAUUAUAUCUUUGCAAAUGGUCGAUAAAUCAACUGCUAUACCUAUCAGUAUCUGUGGGGAUGUGCCUGUUGUGGUUGCAAACGUUACUGUUUUAACGGACUUUGUUAUUCUUGAUAUUCUCAAGGACGAUAGUAUGUUGAUUAUCCUUGGUAGACCCUUUUUGAAUACUUCAGGGGCUGUCAUUGAUUGCAACAAAGGCAAUGUCACUUUUCAUGUUAAUGGUAAUGAACAUACGGUACACUUUCCGAGGAAACAACCUCAAGUCCACAGUAUCAAUUCUAUUGGAAAACCCGAACCCGAGGAAAUAAAUAUAACUUAACGCCGGAAACGGCAAGAGUUGGAGUACAAAUUGGGAAAGUUACAUCCGGGGUGUUACAACACUCCACCACUACGAAAGGAUCUCGUCCCGAGAUCUAGGACUGAAAGAACGCCGGGUACUCAGAACGGAGGUGAUACUUGCGUUCCCAGGUAGCUUCACGGUCGGAAUGGUGUGACCACUUGACUUUGAAAAUUUUGAUUGACUUGUUGCGACUCUUGCGUUCAGUCUCUUCAAGAAUAGCAACUGGGUGCUCACGAUAAGAGAGAUCUUCUUGGAGCUCAAUGUCCUCGAAGUUGACGGUGCGGUCAGGAGUCUUGAAGCACUUUCGAAGCUAAGAGACAUGGAACACGUCAUGAACAUUUGCAAAGUUUGAAGGAAGCUCGAGUUGAUAGGCGAGGUCGCCUCUCUUGCUGACAAUCUCGAAAGGUCCCACGUAUCUAGGGGCAAGCUUCCCUUUGAUACCGAAGCGACAAGUACCUUUCAUAGGAGAGACGCGGAGGUAAACAUGAUCUCCGAUCUCGAAAGCCAAAUCACGGUGCUUACUAUCAUAGUAGCUCUUCUGGCGGGAUUGGGCCGCUUUGAGGUUAUCUCUAAUGACUUUGCACAUUUCUUCUGCCUCUGUGAUUAAGUCAUUACCCAAAAGCUGACGUUCACCGGUUUCGGACCAGUUGAGAGGGGUACGGCACUUCCUGCCAUACAGAAUUUCAAAUGGGGCCUUGCCCGAACUUGCUUGAAAACUGUUGUUGUAGGAGAAUUCAGCAUAAGGAAGACAAUCCUCCCAUUUCAUGCCGAAGGAGAUCACACAAGCCCUGAGCAUAUCUUCAAGAAUCUGGUUGAUACGCUCGACUUGACCGCUAGUUUGAGGAUGGAAAGCUGUGUUGAAGCGGAUGUUCGUGCCCAUGGCCUUCUGAAAAGAAUCCCAGAACUUCGAGGUAAAGAUGCUGCCACGGUCUGAAGAGAUCACUUGUGGAAUACCAAGAAGAGAGACAAUACGAGAGGUAUAGAGUUCCGCCAAUUGAGCUGCAGUGAUCGACUCUUUGAUAGGCAGAAAGUGAGCCACUUUGGUGAGUUUGUCGAUGACCACGAAUAUAGCAUCAUUGCCACGCUUGGACUUUGGAAACCCAGUCAUGAAUUCCAUUUCAAUGUGGUCAAACUUCCAUUCUGGAUGGCAAGAGGUUGGAGGAGACCUGCUGGCCUUUGGUGUUCUGCCUUCACUCUUCUGGAGAUAUCACAUUCAUUCACGAAUUGAGCGAUGUCACGCUUCAUUCGAGUCCACCAAUAAGCUUGCUUGAGGUCCUGAUACAUCUUCGUUCUCACAGGGUGGAUGGAGAGGAGAGAAUUGUGAGCCUCGUUCAUGAUCACUUUACGGAGGUCACCUUUGGGUACAACAAUACGAUCCUCGAAGAAGAGAGUGUCCUUGUCAUCAAGGCGGUAGCACUUGUACUUGGACUGACUCUUGGCAAUCCCAAUCUUCACCUUUUUCACCAUAGCAUCAAGAAGCUGAGCUUGGCUAAUGUGGUCUUCCAAGGUAGGAGAAACUUGAAGGUUGGCGAGGAAACCUUGAGGAACAACUUGCAGAUUAAGUUUGCGGAAAGCUUCACAAAGCUCGGGUUGAUAAGGCUUGAGAAUCAGAUUGUUGCAGUAAGCUUUCCUGCUCAAUGCGACAGCAAUCACAUUGGCCUUGCCUGGAGUAUACUCGAUACUCGGAUUAUACUCUUGAAUCAUUUCGACCCAUCGAGUUUGCUUGAGGUUGAGAUUAGGAUGAGUGAAGAUGUACUUAAGACUCUUGUGAUCAGUGAAAAUGUCCACUUUUCUUCCCAAUAGAAGAUGUCUCCAAGUCAAAAGAGCAUGCACAACUGCCGCCAACUCGGGAUCAUGAGUGGGGUAGUUCUUCUCAUUAGGCUUCAACUGGCGAGAUGUAUAAGCAACAACUUUCUUCUCUUGCAUCAAUACUGCGCCAAGACCUUGGAGAGAGGCAUCACAAAAGACUUCGUACGGUUUGGAUUCAUCAGGCGGAGUGAGAACUGGAGCAGUGAUCAAUUUCUCUUUCAAAGUGUUGAAAGCAAUGUCACACUCCGGAGACCAAAUGUACUUGACGUGCUUCUGAAGAAGAUUUGAGAGAGGGUUCGCGAUCUUAGAAAAGUUUUCAACGAAUCUUCGGCAAUAGCUUGUGAGACCGAAAAAACUGCAGAGUUGCUUCAUGUUCUGAGGAGGUUCCCAAUUCACAAUUGCAGACACCUUCUCAGGAUUCACGACAAUGCCCUUGGCAGAGAUGAUAUGACCAAGAUAAAGAACCUCAUCAAGCCAAAAUUCACACUUGGAGAACUUGGCGUAGAACUGAUGUUCCCUGAGCUUAUCAAGCACCAAACGCAAGUGUUUGGCAUGAUCUUCCUUGUUCUUGGAGAAAACCAGAAUGUCGUCGAGAUAGACCAAAACGAAGUCAUUGGUGUAGGCAUUGAAGAUGAAGUUCAUCAUGCGAGAGAACGUCGGAGGAGCGUUGGCGAGGCCAAAAGACAUGAUAGUGUAUUCAUAAGAACCAAAGCUUGUUCUGAAUGCUGUCUUGGGAAUAUCUUCUUCAUGAAUGUGAAUCUGGUGAUAACCCAUAUGGAGAUCAAGCUUGGAGAAUACUUGGGCACCUUUGAGUUGUUCGAACAGCUCAUUGAUGUUGGGAAGUGGGUAUUUGUUCUUGAUGGUCUUCUUGUUCACUGGACGGUAAUCAACACAAAGUCGGUCCGUUCCAUCCUUCUUCUUCACAAAAAGAACACCACAACUCCACGGAGAAGAACUAGGCCGGAUGAGACCCAUUUUCUCUUGAAUAUCGAGUUGCUUCUUCAGCUCCUUCAACUCUUCAGGUCCGAGCUUGUAAGGACGUUUGCACACAGGUUCCGUGCCAGGCUCAAGAUCAACAACAAAUUGACCUUGGCAUGCUUGGGUUUAUGCUUGACCACAGCUGUACUUGCCGAUCUGACAGGAGGAGGAGGAGGAAGACGCCUCUGGUUGAAACACUUGUUGGCAUAGUGACCCUUCUGUUGGCACUUGUUGCACGUGACCUCUGAAAGCGGACGGUGAUACGGAGCACUCGAUCUUGGAGCUUGAGACGAAGUCUUGUUCUGAAAGGCAGGGUUGGGUGGGUGGGAAGAACCACUGCCACAUUUGCUCUUCUGCUGAUACGGCUGACGGAACGGAGGAGGAGGAAGCCAAUACUUCUGCUGCUUGGCCACUUGAGUAGAGGAAGAAGGAGUAACAUCUCUGACUCGCUUCUUGGAAGCAUCACACCUCAACUGAGCAGCCUCUUGCUUCAGUGCCAUGUUGUAGAACUCAUCGUAUCUCAAGGGCUCAAAGAGGACAAGAGCUAGCUGAAUUUCUUCUCUGAGACCACCCCUGAACUGAUAUAUCAUGCUCUUCUCAUCAGGGACGUCCUGCUUGGCAAAGCGGGCGAGCUUCUGGAACAACUUGAAUUCGUUGUUGAUCUUGAGCCUGGCACGGAACCUGUGUGCAAACGUCCUUACAAGCUCGGACCUGAAGAGUUGAAGGAGCUGAAGAAGCAACUCGAUAUUCAAGAGAAAAUGGGUCUCAUCCGGCCUAGUUCUUCUCCGUGGAGUUGUGGUGUUCUUUUUGUGAAGAAGAAGGAUGGAACGGACCGACUUUGUGUUGAUUACCGUCCAGUGAACAAGAAGACCAUCAAGAACAAAUACCCACUUCCCAACAUCAAUGAGCUGUUCGAACAACUCAAAGGUGCCCAAGUAUUCUCCAAGCUUGAUCUCCAUAUGGGUUAUCAUCAGAUUCAUAUUCGUGAGCAAGAUAUUCCCAAGAUGGCUUUCAGGACAAGCUUUGGUUCAUAUGAAUACACUGUCAUGUCUUUUGGCCUCGUCAACGCUCCUCCGACGUUCUCUCGCAUGAUGAACUUCAUCUUCAAUGCCUACACCAUUGACUUCGUUUUGGUCUAUCUCGACGACAUUCUGGUUUUCUCCAAGAAUAAGGAAGAUCAUGCCAAGCACUUGCGUUUGGUACUUGAUAAGCUCAGGGAACAUCAGUUCUACGCCAAGUUCUCCAAGUGUGAAUUCUGGCUUGAUGAGGUUCUUUAUCUUGGUCAUAUCAUAUCUGCCAAGGGCAUUGCUGUGAAUCCUGAGAAGGUGUCUGCAAUUGUGAACUGGGAACCUCCUCAGAACGUGAAGCAACUCCGUAGCUUCCUCGGUCUCGCAAGCUAUUUCCGAAGAUUCGUUGAAAACUUUUCUAAGAUCGCGAAGCCUCUCUCUAAUCUUCUUCAGAAGCACGUCAAGUACGUUUGGUCUCCGGAGUGUGACAUUGCUUUCAACACUUUGAAAGAGAAAUUGAUCACUGCUCCAGUUCUGACUCCGCCUGAUGAAUCCAAGCCGUACGAGGUCUUUUGUGAUGCCUCUCUCCAAGGUCUUGGCGUAGUAUUGAUGCAAGAGAAGAAACUUGUUGCUUAUACAUCUCGCCAGUUGAAGCCUAAUGAGAAGAACUACCCCACUCAUGAUCUCGAGUUGGCGGCAGUUGUGCAUGCUCUUUUGACUUGGAGACAUCUUCUAUUGGGAAGAAAAGUGGACAUUUUCACUGAUCACAAGAGUCUCAAGUACAUCUUCACUCAGCCUAAUCUCAACCUCAGGCAAACUCGAUGGGUCGAAAUGAUUCAAGAGUAUAAUCCGAGUAUUGAGUAUACUCCAGGCAAGGCCAAUGUGAUUGCUGAUGCAUUGAGCAGAAAGGCUUACUGCAACAGUCUGAUUCUCAAGCCUUAUCAACCCGAGCUUUGUGAAGCUUUCCGCAAACUUAAUCUGCAAGUUGUUCCCCAAGGUUUCCUUGCCAACCUUCAAGUCUCUCCUACCUUGGAAGACCAGAUUCGCCAAGCUCAGCUUCUUGAUGCUAUAGUGAAAAAGGUGAAGAUUGGGAUUGCCAAGAGUCAGUCCAAGUACAAGUGCUACCGCCUUGAUGACAAGGACACUCUCUUCUUCGAGGAUCGUAUUGUUGUACCCAAAGGUGACCUCCGUAAAGUGAUCAUGAACGAGGCUCACAAUUCUCUCCUCUCCAUCCACCCUGGGAGCACGAAGAUGUAUCAGGACCUCAAGCAAGCUUAUUGGUGGACUCGAAUGAAGCCCGAUAUCGCUCAAUUCAUGAAUGAAUGUGAUGUCUGCAGAAGAGUGAAGGCAGAACACCAAAGGCCAGCAGGUCUCCUCCAACCUCUUGCCAUUCCAGAAUGGAAGUUUGACCACAUUGAAAUGGACUUCGUGACUGGGUUUCCAAAGUCCAAGCGUGGCAAUGAUGCUAUAUUCGUUGUCAUCGACAAACUCACCAAAGUGGCUCAUUUUCUGCCUAUCAAAGAGUCGAUAACUGCAGCUCAAUUGGCGGAACUCUAUACCUCUCGCAUUGUCUCUCUGCACGGUAUUCCACAAGUGAUCUCUUCAGACCGUGGCAGCAUCUUUACCUCGAAGUUUUGGGAUUCUUUUUAGAAGGCCAUGGGCACCAACAUCCGUUUUAGCAUAGCUUUCCAUCCUCAAACUAGCGGUCAAGUCGAGCGUGUCAACCAGAUUCUUGAAGAUAUGCUCAGGGCUUGUGUGAUCUCCUUCGGCAUGAAGUGGGAGGAUUGUCUUCCUUAUGAUGAAUUCUCCUACAACAACAGUUUUCAAGCAAGUUCGGGUAAGGCCCCUUUUGAAAUUCUGUAUGGCAGGAAGUGCCGUACCCCUCUCAACUGGUCUGAAACCGGUGAACGUCAGCUUUUGGGUAAUGAAUUAAUCACAGAAGCAGAAGAAAUGUGCAAAGUCAUUCAUGAUAACCUCAAAGCAGCCCAAUCCCGCCAGAAGAGCUACUAUGAUAGUAAGCACCGUGAUUUGGCUUUCGAGAUCGGAGAUCAUGUUUACCUCCGUGUCUCUCCUAUGAAAGGUACUCGUCGCUUCAGUAUCAAAGGGAAGCUUGCCCCUAGAUACGUGGGACCUUUCAAGAUUAUCAGCAAGAGAGGCGACCUCACCUAUCAACUCGAGCUUCCUUCAAACUUUGCAAAUGUUCAUGACGUGUUCCAUGUCUCUCAGCUUCGAAAGUGCUUCAAGACUCCUGACUGCACCGUCAACUUCGAGGACAUUGAGCUCCAAGAAGAUCUUUCCUAUUGUGAGCAUCCAGUUGCUAUUCUUGAACAGACUGAACGCAAGACUCGCAACAAGUCAAUCAAAUUUCUCAAAGUCAAGUGGUCACACCAUUCCGACCGUGAAGCUACCUGGGAACGCGAGGAUCACCUCCAUUCUGAGUACCCGGCGUUCUUUCAGUCCUAGAUCUCGGGACGAGAUCCUUUCGUAGUGGUGGAGUGUUGUAACACCCCGGAUGUAACUUUCCCAAUUUGUACUCCAACUCUUGCCGUUUCCGGCGCUAAGUUAUAUUUAUUUCCUCGGGUUCGGGUUUUGUCUCCGUGUGUUGUUGUCGCUGUCAUGCAUAUCAUAUCAUGUCAUCAUGUGCAUUGCAUUUGCAUACGUGUUCGUCUCAUGCAUUCGAGCAUUUUCCCCGUUGUCCGUUUUGCAUUCGGGCGCUUCGUUCUCCUCCGGUGGUCAUUUCUAGCUUUCUUUCGUGUGUGGGGAUUAAACAUUUCUGGAUUGGACCGAUACUUGCCAAGCGGCCUUGGUUUACUACCGGUAGACCGCCUGUCAAGUUUUGUAUCAUUUGGACUUCGUUUGAUACUCCAACGGUUAACCGAGGGACCGAAAAGGCCUCUUGUGUGGUUCAGCCCAACACCCUUUCAAUUUGGCCCAAAACCCACCUAACUCUGUUCCAUCAUCUAGAGCGUUCGAUCACGAUCGCGUGGCCGAAAACCGCACCUCAUUUGGACUCUCCUAGCUCCCUCUACGCCUAUUUAAAGAACCCCUCGAAAAAUUCGCGGAUCCCCUCUCGAAACCCUAGUCCCCUUCGUCUCCACGCGCCGGCGGACGAAUUUCCGUCCGGCUGGACGUGUCCGCUGCUUCCCGCCGCAGCCACGUGUCGCCGCCUCAUUCGCCGCCGCCCGGUCCCCAGUUCACCGCGCCGCCAGGGCCCGCGAGGCCCAUCGCCGGCCCUCCCCGGCCCGCAGCNNNNNNNNNNNNNNNNNNNNNNNNNNNNNNNNNNNNNNNNNNNNNNNNNNNNNNNNNNNNNNNNNNNNNNNNNNNNNNNNNNNNNNNNNNNNNNNNNNNNNNNNNNNNNNNNNNNNNNNNNNNNNNNNNNNNNNNNNNNNNNNNNNNNNNNNNNNNNNNNNNNNNNNNNNNNNNNNNNNNNNNNNNNNNNNNNNNNNNNNNNNNNNNNNNNNNNNNNNNNNNNNNNNNNNNNNNNNNNNNNNNNNNNNNNNNNNNNNNNNNNNNNNNNNNNNNNNNNNNNNNNNNNNNNNNNNNNNNNNNNNNNNNNNNNNNNNNNNNNNNNNNNNNNNNNNNNNNNNNNNNNNNNNNNNNNNNNNNNNNNNNNNNNNNNNNNNNNNNNNNNNNNNNNNNNNNNNNNNNNNNNNNNNNNNNNNNNNNNNNNNNNNNNNNNNNNNNNNNNNNNNNNNNNNNNNNNNNNNNNNNNNNNNNNNNNNNNNNNNNNNNNNNNNNNNNCAGCCAACGCCGGCUGCCCGGAGCUCCUCCGCCCCGCCACGUGCUCGCCCGAGGCCGGCGAGCUUCCUUCGCCGCCCCGCAAGCCGGCACCGCCCCGGCCCCUUCCUUCCUCUAACUCCGGCCGUCACCGUCCAUCGUCGCCGACCAGCCUGCCGGCGAGCUCGGAUCCACCUCAGGAGGCGCGCCCCGAUCCAGAUCCGAGACGGCUACAAUAAACCCUAGGAGAUGUUUUUUUUUGCGAACUCCCGAGAUUGCAGAUCCAAGUGCCUCUGUUCGGGGCCUCGUAUCUUUGCAUCCGUAGCUCCGAUUGAUGCAUAUAGCAUAUCAAAAUGUUCAUCUCAGAGGGUACAUCAUUUCAUUCCAUUGUGUCAUUUUCAUUUGAGUUCAUCUUGACACCCGAAAUGCUGUUAGAAGAUGGCUACUUGAGAUUAUUGUCAGAUCUGCUACUCCGUUUAGCACUUUUGUCAUUUUUGCCAUGAUUAAUGUGUGCAUGCUAUGCCCGUGAGUUCUACAUGUGUUUUGUUAAGGGUUUUGUCAUCUUUCCAGAGGUGCAACCCAUGUAUUUUUAGGAUGUGUGUGGUGACUAGUGCAAGCUUGCAAAGAGGUGCACUUGCUAAUUCUGUUUCCAGGGACUUAGUAAUUUCACUAAGUCCUGCAGUUGUUUAUCUCAUGAAGCCAUAUGUUCUUGUUGUUUCCUAGUGAUCUGUGCCUCUUUUGAGGAUAAUCAGUAAGGGAGUUUUGUUAAUAUUAUAUUGUUAUAUCCAUCCAUGUCUUUGUUUGCAAUUAUGGAGCACCCUAGCUUGAGUCAAUCGAGCUCUACUUUUGCUACUUUGUGAAUCUGGGCAGAUUGUCAACUUGUUUGCAAUUUUGCCGAUGAUGUUGUAGUUGGUCCGUGCAUGCUAUGCUAUUUUUUCUUGCCAUGUCUAGCUUGCAUUUUGUGCCCUCGUUAUGGGUGUAUGCUUGUCUUCCCAUGACUUGCACCGUAGUGAGUGCAUCGAGCUCAUAAACAUGCCUACUUGAGUUAGAUUUCAGCAUGUGUCAGUUUUCACUAAGUCUGAAAACUGAUUAUGUUUUUGCUAUGUUCACAUGCUUGCAAUUGUAGUUUCUGAUCCCUUUUGGCUCAAGGUCACUAAGGGACUUUUGUUAAGCUCUUUGAGUAGCUCCAUGAAAUGCUUUACUUUGCCAUGUUCAGAUCCUGUAGCAUGUGGUUUUGUUGCUCCGAAGAGGGCUACCUGAUCUGAAAUUCCAGACAAGUGUUGAUUUCACUAAGUCUGAGAUCUGUUUGCCAUAUGCAUUUUUGCCAUGCUUGUUUGAACCUGUUAAUGGAUGAAUUUGGCCGUAGCUCAGUGCUAGAUUUUUGUUAAGCAUCUUAUGUGCAUCCCUGGCAUGUAUUUUGUUGUCAUAUUUGGUGGCUGUAGCAUGUUCAUUUCGUUGCAUUUAGAUGCCUACUUGCUGUAAAUCGCAGACCGGUGUCAUUCUUGAAUCGCUUGCCAUUUCCAAACCGUAACUCCGAUUCCGGCGUUCUUUAUAUCGUUUUCAAGCGAUUUCAUCUCAUCUUUCCAAUGGCGUACUUGGAAUUCCAAGUUGAGGCCCGGUUCAUACGUUUCCUGUCAUAUCUUGCAUUUUGCAUCCCGCAUCGCAUUCCGCAUAGCAUAUCAUCAUUUCAUCAUCGUUGCAUCAUCUUGUUUGCUCCUUGCACAUGGUUGAUUGUAUACUUGUUGGUUGUUUGUCUUGUUUGGGUAGAGCCGAGAGACGAGUUCGCUAACGAGGAGCCCGUUGAGCUUGCUUUCGAGGAUCCAGUCAACUCUGACAACUGUGCAGGCAAGAUGAUCAUACCCUCGAAAUCACUACUAUCUUUGCUAUGCUAGUUUGCUCGCUCUUUUGCUAUGCCAAUGCUACGAUGCCUACCACUUUCUUGCAAGCCUCCCAAAAUGCCAUGUCAAACCUCUAACCCACCAUUGUCCUAGCAAACCGUUGAAUGGCUAUGUUACCGCUUUGGUCAGCCCCUCUUAUAGCAUUGCUAGUUGCAGGUGAAGAUUGAAGGCCGUUCCUUGUUGGAACAUUUAUUUACUUGUUGGGAUAUCAUUAUAUUAUCUUGUUAUCUUAAUGCAUCUAUAUACUUGGUAAAGGGUGGAAGGCUCGGCCUCUCGCCUAGUGUUUUGUUCCACUCUUGCCACCCUAGUUUCCGUCAUAUCGGUGUUAUGUUCCCGGAUUUUGCGUUCCUUACGCGGUUGGGUUAUAAUGGGAACCCCUUGAUAGUUCGCCUUGAUUAAAGCUUUUCCAGCAAUACCCAACCUUGGUUUUACCAUUCGCCACCUAGCCUCUUUUUCUCUUGGGUUACCGGAGCCCAAGGGUCAUCUUAUUUUAACUCCCCCCCGGGCCAGUGCUCCCUCUGAGUGUUGGUCCGAACCGGGCAGCCUGUGGGGCCACCUCGGGGAAACUCGAGGGUUGGUUUUACUCGUAGCUUGACCUAUCUGAGUGUGCCCUGAGAACGAGAUAUGUGCAGCUCCUAUCGGGAUUUGUCGGCACAUUCGGGCGGUGUUGCUGGUCUUGUUUUAACCUGUCGAAGUGUCUUGAGUUACCGAGAUACCGAGUCUGAUCGGAACGUCUUGGGAGGAGGUCUAUUCCUUCGUUGACCGUGAGAGCUUGUCAUGGGCUAAGUUGGGACUCCCCUGCAGGGGUUGAACUUUUGAAAGCCGUGCCCACGGUUAUGGGCAGAUGGGAAUUUGUUAAUGUCCGGUUGUAGAUAACUUGAACCUUAACUUAAUUAAAAUGAAUCAACUGAGUGUGUUACCAUGAUGGCCUCUUCUCGGCGGAGUCCGGGAAGUGGACACGGUGUUGGAGUAAUGUUUGCGCAGGUUGCUCUCUAGUUUCUCACUCGCGCUUUGUCUCCUCUUCUCACCAGAUGCAGGGCCUGAUGAUUCCGCUCCAGGAGACGCGUAUGAGCUCAAGUGGGAGUUCAACAAAGACUCUCAACAUUACUAUGUUUCCUUUCCCGAUGAUCAGUAGUGGUGCCCAGUUGGGGGUGAACGGGACCAUGUCGCAUGUUGGGUUCUCUUUUAUUUUGGCGCCGUAGUCGGGCCAUGAGUGUUUGGAUGAUGUAAUGUUAUUUAUGCACUUGAUUGACGUGGCGAGUGUAAGCCAACUAUGCUAUCUCCCUUUUUAUUAUCAUAUUACUUGGGAUGUUGUGAAGAUUGCCUAACUUGCGACAUAUGCCUUCAAUGCGAUUAUGUCUCUAAGUCGUGCCUCGACACGUGGGAGCUAUAGUCGCAUCGAGGGUGUGACAAAUAAGAUAUUUGCUUGAGAGCAUAGCACAUGGCUAGAUAUGGUCUUAUUGUAUAUAAAUGAAUUCCAACCACAUGAACAUCAAAGACAUCACAACUAGCAACAAGACAUCAUUGUUGGGAUGCUUUGAGAAAGGAAACAAGUAUAACAAGAAAGAAUGGAUAACAUGCCAUGAUACAACCUACACAAGGUUAAUGCAAGAAAUGUGUGCAUGAAGUAUAUGAAGAUACUUGUUACCGAGAUAACAUUGGAAGGAUGUAGUUGAUAUCAAUUGAAGGUACAAAGUAGUUCAUUGAUCAUCCUAGCUUGACUCCAAUAAGCACAUGGUGACAACACCUUCCUUCUGAGUGAGCCGAGCAUCCAAUGCAUCUCCACUUGUUCCUAGAACAACAACACAAACAAAAUGGUACCCAAACUCAUUGGGACCAAAGAGUUAGAGAACCAACAACACAUAGGACAAACUCCACAUAAAUAUGUGCAUAUAGAUAUGAAAAUGAAUUUCAUGCACAUCUCAUCCAAUUUGAGACUUGGUGGAGUUCCCCCUAUAUAUUGGGUCAAAGAAAGAAAACAUGCCAAAGAAACUACAAGAAGUAAAUAUGCAUGCUCAAGACUUUCAAGAACCGAGACCAAAAGAUAAAGAAAUACCAAGCGAAGAAAAGAUACCAAAUGAGUAAAUCAUCACUUGGAGGAUAUCCAUAAAAGAUACAUCAAGGAAUGAGAUAUCCAUUGAUACACUAAAAAAGAAAGAUGGCAAACUCCCAAAAGAGAGAAUGGUUCCAAACAAACGAAGCCCUCUACAAAGUUUCAUGAUGGCACAAAGCACCAAAAAGAAACGACUUGCCUUCCACAAACACACACUUGAUAGGGAUCAUAAGAUGAGUGUUUUAUAGAGAAUAGGAUAGCUCCCCCAAGACUAGUGCAUUAUAGAGAAUUUGCAUUUGAAUACAAAAUGCACGAGGUGGGAUCACCACUUUCACUAUAUCUAGAAAACACUAGACAAGGCCAAGAAAUUAACAAGAUCCACAAGUGGUAUGGAAUACAAUGGGAGUUGACACAAUCCUAGGCAAGAGAUAAAGCAAAUAAAAGAAAAGACCAAUGUAAAGAUGAUCAAUAAUUUCUACCACACAUAAGUGAGUACCAAUUGUCAAAAGACAAGAAGUAUUUGGAAAUAAUUCCCGGUGGUAGAUAACAAGGAUAUCCGACAUCAUCUUCACACCAAACAAAAAGCAAAUUGCAUCUUGUAGAGCUAACAUGCCACAUAGGAACAAAAUAAUUUACAAUAUCAAUUCUAGGUUACAAUAUCUCAAAUGCACACAUUUUCUAGGCUAAUAAUAUACACAUAGCAUAUUAAUCCCCCAUAAUGUGAUACCAAUUAAAGAUAAACAAGAGGCAAAAAAACGAUCCAACACAAGAUAAUUAAUGGACAAUAUAGAAUUUGAAUUUCUCAUGAGAAGACAUACCACAUAGCGACUAGAUAAUCUUGAAAUAUCAAUACUAGAUGGUAUUACUCAUGUACACACAUAUAUAGGAUUGUGAGGUGCACAAAGCACAUCACUCCCCCAUAAUGGGAUAUUCCAUUAAUCUCUCACUAGAGCCAACUAAGAAAAGAACAAGAUGCAAAAGGCUCAAUGCAUGACACACACGUACAUGAUGUGCAAACCAACACACACAUACUUGAUUGCGCAAGAUAAUCAAGUUGGAAGCACAACAUAUACAAACACAUGCAAGGGACAAAACCAAACAUGCAAAGGGUAAGUAACUAUCAAUGUAAACACUUUAAGCACGAGUUACCGCAUGGAGAAACAUUGGAUAUAAGAUAGAAACUUGAUAAUUCGAAUAACUUGGCUUGAGACAAUUAGAAUGAUGAAGUCCCCUUAAUUAUUCAUAAAGUAGCCAAGUCUCCAAUGCCCUCCAACAACACCUAUUGAUCAAGUUUGAGCUUGUUGGUCCCCAAACAAGUUGGGUCCUAAGAGGUUAGCCACAAUAGGCUUGGCUACCCAAAUGGUUCUCUUCUUGACACCACUUUGAGUACCAACAACUUUGGCAAACACAUUGCCAACCUUAUCCUUCCCAAGAGAAUAGAUAUCAUCUAAUAAUUGGGUUGGAUAAGUUACCACUAGUGCAUGAAGAGGCGAGGUGACCUUUCUCAUGACAUAAGUAGCAACGUCUACUCUUCACUUUCUUCUCACUUGAUUUCUCAAUUUGAGAAGCAAAAGCUUGAGUCUUCUUGGGAAGAGGCUUUUCUUCAAGUUGAGGUUGAGCAUGAGAAUGAACUUGUGGCCGCUUCCCUUGUUGCUUGUCACUAAUGGGUUUCUUCUUCAAUGGGCAAGAUCUAACAUGAUGCCCUUCAAUUUUGCACUUGAAGCAAAUAAUCUUAGCCAAAUUCUUGACUUGUUAUUGGCCCUUCUUCUUGAUCAUUUUGGACUUCUUCUUCUUAUUGGAGUUGAAUCCAAGUCCACCUUUGUCAUUGGGGGAUUUUUGCACACUCAAGAUAUUGUUGAGUGUGGAUUUCCCUUCAUGACUCUUUUUCAAGUCUUUCUUCAAAGAAGUGACUUGGGCCUUGAGCUCUUUGAUUUCCUCUACAUGGUUAGUCUCAACACAAGUACUAGAGGAAGUAUAAUCUUCAUCGUUAGAGCAACAAGGCAAGGAAAGCAAUUCAUCACAAGAUGUACAAACAUUGUGAGUAGAUGAAUUACAAGGACUAGCACAUGGCAAUAUAGCAUUUUGACUAGAAGUAGUGCUAGUAUCCACAUGAGGCUCACUAGAUGUUACCUUAGAAAUCAUGGCCUCAUGAGCUAUCUUUAGCUCAUUAUGGGAUACUAGAAGAUCAUCAUGAGAGCUUGAGAGCUUUUCAUGGUUUUCUUCCAAUUUCCCAUAAUUGCUAGAUAGCAACUCAAGUUGAGCCCGAAGCUCAACAUUCUCCUUCAAAAUGGAUGCUUCACAAGUAAUAGAGUUAGUAGCACAAACAUCAUCAUUAGCAACAAGAGGAGAAGACAACUUGGCAAGCUCUUUUGAAUAUGAAGCUUUAAGUUGUGCAUGAGACUCGGUGAGUUUGAUGAGCUCACUCUUAAUGACCCUUGAGCCAUUUUCGAGGUGCCCAAAGUCCUCAAGGAGUUUAGCAUGCGCAACUUCAAGCUUCCCAUUUUUAGUUUCAAAAACAUUGGCCACCUCAAUAGCUCUAUCAUGAGAUUCCUUCACUCUAGAUAAUUCUAGAGCAAAAGUCUCCUCAAGAGAUUCCUUAGUGGUUUGUUCAAGUUCGAGAGCUUGGGAGAGGUCCGCGAUCUCAUUAGCAUAAUCACGCUCAUGACCUUCCAUUUUAUCAAUGGUGACCUCAUGCUCCUCAAGACGAGAUUCCAACUCAUCAAUAUAUUUCUUGCCCUCAAUAGCAAUAGACAUGAUUUCCAUGAAGUUGUAACGAGAAAUUUUAUUCUUAAGAAGAGCUUUAAAAAUCAUUUUCCCCUUAAUUUUUAAGGAGGUGACAUCAUCAUUCUCUUCAUCAUAAUCAACAUCAUCAUCACUCUUGCCAUCAUCAAUAUCAUCACAAGAAAUAUUGGGAUUCAAAGUGGGAUAUACCUUUGAAGCCUUGGCCAUAAGGCAAAAUGCAAUAGAUGAUGAUGUACGAUCCCUUGAAGCACCAUCCAAGACCACAUCUUGUUCCAUGGAGUGUUGGGUUUCCUCUACAUUGUUAGCACAACAACUCGAGGAAAUACAUGCAUUUUUAUCAUGGCAACAAGAUAUAGCAAGCAUAUCAUCAUGAGAUUUAGUCAAGCAAUUUUUACAUGAUAUGCAAGGACUAUCAACACAAGCAUGUGAAACAUGUAUGGUGCUUGAAGUGUUAAAGUCCAAAGAAGAUGCAUUGCAAUAAGAUAGUGAUGAAGUAUCAUCCACAAUAACCAUACUAUCAUUAUUGCAAUGACCAACACUACUCACCAUAUCAUUACCUUGUGGCAAACCACAUGUAGGUGAAGUAGAACAAGUUGAGAAGACUAUACGACCGGAGGUGGAGGGAGAACAAUCAUCCCCACAAAUCUUGGACACACCAUAUUUAUCUUGAAGCUUCGUCCACAACUCAUGAGCAUCCCGGAACGACAUGAGUUGAAAUAUAACUACAUUGCUCAAAGCAUCGAAAAGCACAUUAGAAGCUUGAGCAUUGAGAUAAGAGUUUUUCUCAUCCUCUAAAGAUAAUCUUUGGGGAUCCUUUGGAGGAGAAAAACCCAUAUCUACAAUUCGCUCUAAAUUUGGGUCCAUGACCCUAAAGAGAUUAAGCAUGCGAAUUACCCAAACAUCAAAAUUUGUGCCAUCGAAACUAAGAGUGUCAGAGAAUCCUAAACCCCUAGUCGACAUCCUUACUCUCUAGGCGGUUAAGCCCUAUAAAGAGAGAUGAGGCUCUGAUACCAAUUGAAAGAUCGUGGAUGUCGCCUAGAGGGGGGGGUGAAUAGGCAUUUUUAAAAUAAUUACGGUUUAGGCUUGAACAAAUGCGGAAUAAACCUAGCGGUUAAUUUGUCAAGCACAAAACCUAAAACAACUAGGCUCACCUAUGUGCACCAACAACUUAUGCUAAGCAAGAUAAGCAACUAUGUGAUAGCAAGAUAUAUGACAAGAAACAAUAUGGCUAUCACAAAGUAAAGUGCAUAAGUAAAGGGGCUCGGGUAAGAGAUAACCAAGGCACACGAAGACGACGAUGUAUCCCGAAGUUCACACCCUUGCGGAUGCUAAUCUCCGUUUGGAGUGGUGUGGAGGCACAAUGCUCCCCAAGAAGCCACUAGGGCCACCAUAAUCUCCUCAUGCCCUCGCACAAUGCAAGAUGUCAUGAUUCCACUAAGGGACCAUUGAGGGCGGUCACCGAACCCGUACAAAUGGCAACCCUUGGGGGCGGUCACCGAACCCGUACACUUUGGAAACCCUUGGGGGCGGUCACCGGUACCCGUCAAAUUGCUCGGGGCGAUAUCCACAACCUAAUUGGAGACCCCGACGCUUGCCCGGAGCUUUACACCACAAUGAUUGAGCUCCGAACAAGACCAACCGUCUAGGGCGCCAAGGCACCCAAGAGGAACAAGCUCUAGGGUGCCCAAACACCCAAGAGUAAUAAGCUUCUCAAACUUCACUUCCACGUAUCACCGUGGAGAACUCAAACCGAUGCACCAAAUGCAAUGGUAAGGGCACACAGAGUGCCCAAGUCCUUCUCUCUCAAAUCCCACCGAAGCAACUAAUGCUAGGGAGGAAAAUGAGAGGAAGAACAAGAAGGAGAACACCAAGAACUCCAAGAUCUAGAUCCAAGGGGUUCCCCUUACCUAGAGGAGAAAGUGAUUGGUGGAAACGUGGAUCUAGAUCUCCUCUCUCUUUUCUUUCAAAAACUAGCAAGAAUCCAUGGAGGGAUUGAGAGUUAGCAAGCUCGAAGAAGGUCAACAAUGGGGGAAGAACACGAGCUCAAAGGAUAAGGUUCAUUGGGGAAGAAGACCCCCUUUUAUAGGUGGGAAAAAAUCCAACCGUUAUGCUCACAGCCCGCACAGAGCGGUACUACCGCUCCAAGGAGCGGUACUACCGCUAGGGCGGAAGUACCCCUUUGAAAAACAACAGCGAGGAGGCAAAAGGCCAGUAGAACCACCGGAGCGGUACUACCGCUCGUCCUCACGAUACUACUGCUCGACCUCAUGGUACUACCGCAAAUGGUAGCGGUACUACUGCUUGCGAGCGGUACAAAAAAAAUACUUCCGUGCCUACUUCCGCUGAGCAAAACACAAGAUUUUGGUCCGGAGCGGUACUACCGCUCAGGAGCCGCAGUAGUACUGCUCUGGAGCGGUAGUAAAAAAUUACAUCCGCUCUAGCCACGGUACUACCGCUGCAGCCUUUACAAAAACAACCAUAACUUCUACAAACGGACUCCGAAUACGAUGAAACCAAGUUUGUUGGAAAGCUAGCGACAAGGGCUAACACAAUCUUGAUAUAAAUACCAAUAAGAAGCAAAUGAGAAAAGGCCCAAAUGAAAAUGGUGAGAACCCUUCCUCGGAUAAGACCGGUAAAACCUCCAACAUCGAAAACAUCAUAGAAGACGCAUGCAAACUCCGUUUUCGAUGAAAUCAAGCUUGUCAUAAAGAUGACCAUAAGCUCUAAGACUCACAAAGAGAACCAAACAAGAACCAAGAAACAUGAUGUAAGGAUGCAAUGGUUUGAGCUCUCGACGAUAGAUAAGAUCAAACUCACUUGAGAACCCCCCUUGAUAGUACGGCUAUCGAUCAUAUAACCCGGUCUCCCAACUACCACCACGAGACCGGUAAAAUAGAAAACCUAUCAAGGGCAAACCUUUACAUUGCACAUGAUCCACUUGAGCUAGAUGAUGACGAUCUUUUCCUCCUCAAGAUGGACCACCUUUCUUGAUUGCGUUGGGUCGAUGUAGACUAGAUGAUUGCUCCCCCAUACUCCACUAUGGGUGAGCCACUCUUCGGCACAUCUUCACAAGUCCAUUGACACCACAAUGGAUGGCAAGAUUCAAGCACUUGAUCCCUUCGUGAUUCUCCACUUGAACUUGCACACGGCAAUCUUGAUGACGAUCACCACUUGAUGUCAUCCUUCCCAUGGGUUGUAUGUUAUCAUCCUCUUGACGCAAGCCCAUGGACAUGUACCUAACCCCACAUAAACUCUCACAUAGACCAUGGGUUAGUACACAAAGUGCAACGGAUAAUGCUUACCAUACCAUGGGAUCACUUGAUCCCUCUCGGUACAUCUUCUACUCUUUGUGAGUCGAUCAACUUGAUUCACUCUUGACUUAGUCUUGAUCAACCUUGAAUCUUUCCAACUCUCUUCGUUUGGAUGAUGUCUUGAAGGUAAACAUGAAUGAUCACACAAUCUUCUUCUUCAAGACAUGCUUGCAAUAAGCUCAACACUCACAUGACCAAUCUUUGGAUAAUUCCUUAAUAGCACCUUGGUCAACCCAUAAACUCCUUGAAACCAACACAUGGACUUUAAGAAAUGCCUAUGGAAAAAUCCUUCAAAUAUAACUCAAUGCAACCAUUAGUCCAUAGAGAAUGUCAUCAAUUACCAAAACCACACAUGGGGGCACCGCAUGUCCUUUCAACUCUCUCUCUCUCUCUCUCUCUCUCUCUCUCUCUCUCUCGUCUAUCCAAACUGAUUAAAAUUAGGCUUUUAUCAUUUAUGCCACUACUAAUAUCACACUACUGUCAUUAAAAGUUGCAACUGGUCUCUCUCGUCAGAUGUUUGCUUAAAAAUGGCAUUAGAUACCUAGAAAUUUCCAUCAUUUCAUUAGAUGUUUGCUUAAAAAUGCCAUUAAACAUCGUUAUUGUCACGUCAAAUCUGUUGACCAUGUUAUAUGACAAAAAUAUCCCAAGACUCACAUGUUAGAUCUCUCUAUCUCACAAUGAUAAGUGUGGGUCUCAUUUGUGAGAGUAAGCAAGCGAACAAUUUUAGAGAAAAAUAAGAAUGUUGUUGGAUAUCGAGUGGGGCCCACACUUUAUCGUAGUGAGAUAGAGGGAUAUCUGACUUGUUGGUCCAUUUGAAUUUUGACCGUUAUAAUAUGACAAACGGGUUUUGAGCUGACAAUAAUGAGAGUGACAUUUUUGAGCAUGCACCUAAUGCGUCAAUGACUAUUUUGAACAGUUGAAAUUUCUAAAGGCAAAAUCAAGUAGUGGGAUACAACUGAUGCCAUAUAUGAUAUAAGAAAACCUUACAUAUUUUCCUAAUUAAAUAUCUGGCCACUUUAAUCGCUACUCUCUUUAUUUUUUUUUAAAUGUACUUUCAACUUUGUUGGAAAGUAAAACAUUUUAUAUUUGACCGUAUUUAUACAAUAAUACACCAACACUUAUGCCAUGAAAUUAGUAGCAUUAGAUUCAUAAUAAAAUAUAUUUUCAUCAUAUACUAUUUGAUUUCACAAACAUUGAUAUAUUUUUGCGUAAAUUCAAUCAAACUUUGAGAUAGUUUGACCCUUCAACAAAGUUAAAAGUACACUCUUUAAAGGACGGAGAGAGUAGCAUCCAAUCUAGAUUAGCUCCAUACGUAACUAGUACUAGUUGUAGCACUAGCCUAAAACAAAAGGAUGCCUUCUAGCCUUCGGAAAAAUGUUUUACGCCAGACGACCGGCUAUCUCUUGCGCUGGUCGCACCAAGCGCUGGUACAUCCCCACGCAUCCACGUACAUAGCUAUGGCCCAGCUCACCGCCCCGCUCUUAUCCCCUUACGCAUUUUCCUUCACAGCCUCUCCUUCCACCUCACGCAGGCCCAAUUCAAUCUUCUCUCUCCGUUCAGCCCUCAUCCCUACACGACAGGGCCACAUAUUUUUGCUGCCGCGCACAUCUCGUCCAAGAUCGAUGGCGAGGUCAUCGGCAUCGCGCUCCUUUCCUGUAGAGUCGCUGGACGUCCGCGCGCAACGAGCUUUUCCAUGGCGAACGAGAGCUUCGCCCAAAGAUUUCUGUGACGACUGCGUCUGAGGGAUGCUGGAACCGCCCAGUCCCGGGCUACGCCCGGCGAGCACCGGUGCUGCAACCGACGGCGUCAAGCACUAGACCCGGCAAGGGGUUGUGCUGGGUUUGCCCCUUUUUUGAGCACAUACAACACCAAUGUUACCACCAGUGAUUUGUUUUGCCAGCACCGGCGGCAAAUUUUGCUGGAAUCGGUGACUUUUUUUCCUGGGAUCCGUAAUUUUGUGUGAUUUUUGCUGCAUCCGGCAUUCGAUUUUGCUACGACCCGCAUUGAAUUUUGUUGGAAUCGGCGAGUGUUUCUUUGCUCGGUUGUGCAAAUGUGAUGUUUUUUCCGGUCAAUUUUUUUUGCUACAACCAUGUUUUGAUUUUGCUGGAACCGGAGACAAUUUUUGCUACAUCCAUGUUUUGAUUUUGCUGGAACCGGACACAAUUUUUGCUACAUCCACCCACGGCGGUGUUGGUCGACGGCGGCGAUGGCUAUUUUUCGCUACAACCGUCUCAGAGUUUUUGCUACUACCGGAGAUGUCAUUUGCUACUAUUAGAGUUUUUUUUUCUGUACCAACAUUUUUUUGCUACAACCAUAACUUCAAUUUUGCUGGAACCACGUUUUCAAAAGAUUCAACAGGGUGCGGUGACACAGAGGUGCUUUUUUGACAAUUUUUUGUUGUUGCGAGCAUCGGCGGCGAGGAUGACACGGAGCUGCAACCGGCGACUGGCGUUGCCGGAGCCGCGACCAUCACCAGCUAGGGAAGCUGCAACCCACGGGCGAAGUUUUUGCUGUGCGUGGAUCCCAACGAGAAACAUGGGAGAAGACGGCGGCGACUGGCGGCGAGCGCGGCAUCCAGCAGCGCAGGGGCGACGGAGAGAGGAGGUCCAAGUGAGUGGGUGAUGGCCGGCGGCCGGGAGGACGUCGAGGCCACCGGGCUUUAUGGAGAGGAAGAGGGAGAGAAAAAGUCAACGCGGGGAUCAGGGAUCGAACGACUCGUAGUCGCUUGAUCGGGCGGUUGGGGCUAGUCCGGUCCAACUGUUCGCCGGACUGCCGGCGCCUAUCACUGCCCUUCGGACUAUGCAAGAACUACAGGAAAUAAACAUCACGUAUGUAUCUAGCUUGCUUGUUUCUUCCCAGCCGAUCGAAUCACAACUUCUUCGGUAGUCCUGAAAUUUGGUUUGAUGUUUUUCUGUGGUAGUUGAAUCUAGAGCAACAUAGAACCAACUAAAACUUGUUGCAUUGAGUUAUAAUGGCCCAAGUUUAUUUCCUUCUGUGUAGCUUUAUCACCGGUGGUUAUAGCAUCCCCUUCCUCUUGAAACGAAGCCACGGUUUCAUGAUAGCAUUACGACUCGUAGUGAAAUGACAAAAAAGACCACAUGCAAUUAAAAUUGCAAAAAUUACCGUGGCCGCAAGCUCGGCAGGCGGCACGUGUCCCUGCCGCCGUAGCCUGUUGCGGCAAGACCUGCCACCGUAGACCGUGGCGGCAGGUUGGGAAUCACAGGAAUUCGCGAGAAGGGAAAACAUAAAAUAGUACAGGGGCAGCGAGUGCUGCUGCUCGCGCGACGCGCACCCUAGAGCUCUGUCAAUACAAGUAUCAGUUACUAGGGCACUCUUUUAGUUCAGUGCCGCAUCACCCUGUAACUUGCUUCUUGUAAUCUUCGAUUCAUUUUUUUUGAACGGAGGCAAAAAGCUUUUCCUCACCCCAGUCUUUUAACGGUUACGGGACCACACAAGUUCAAGAGGGAAUCACUCUCCCAUUAAAAUGUUGCCUAGAAAUUGACCGGGGAUGACCCCUGGGUAGGCUCAACG